rnacentral:rRNA from 1 species
UACGUAGGGGGGCUAGCGUUGUCCGGAUUUAUUGGGCGUAAAGAGCGUGUAGGCGGCCAGGUAGGUCUGGUGUGAAAACUCGAGGCUUAACCUCGAGAUGUCAUCGGAAACCAUCUGGCUAGAGUCCGGAAGAGGAGAGUGGAAUUCCUGGUGUAGCGGUGAAAUGCGCAGAUAUCAGGAAGAACACCAAUGGCGAAAAGCAGCUCUCUGGGACGGUACUGACGCUGAGACGCGAAAGCGUGGGGAGCGAACAGG